GAAUGCUGACAUAAGUAACGAUAAAGCGGGUGAAAAGCCCGCUCGCCGGAAGACCAAGGGUUCCUGUCCAACGUUAAUCGGGGCAGGGUGAGUCGACCCCUAAGGCGAGGCCGAAAGGCGUAGUCGAUGGGAAACAGGUUAAUAUUCCUGUACUUGGUGUUACUGCGAAGGGGGGACGGAGAAGGCUAUGUUGGCCGGGCGACGGUUGUCCCGGUUUAAGCGUGUAGGCUGGUUUUCCAGGCAAAUCCGGAAAACCAAGGCUGAGGCGUGAUGACGAGGCACUACGGUGCUGAAGCGACAAAUGCCCUGCUUCCAGGAAAAGCCUCUAAGCAUCAGGUAACAUCAAAUCGUACCCCAAACCGACACAGGUGGUCAGGUAGAGAAUACCAAGGCGCUUGAGAGAACUCGGGUGAAGGAACUAGGCAAAAUGGUGCCGUAACUUCGGGAGAAGGCACGCUGAUAUGUAGGUGAAGCGACUUGCUCGUGGAGCUGAAAUCAGUCGAAGAUACCAGCUGGCUGCAACUGUUUAUUAAAAACACAGCACUGUGCAAACACGAAAGUGGACGUAUACGGUGUGACGCCUGCCCGGUGCCGGAAGGUUAAUUGAUGGGGUUAGCGGCAACGCGAAGCUCUUGAUCGAAGCCCCGGUAAACGGCGGCCGUAACUAUAACGGUCCUAAGGUAGCGAAAUUCCUUGUCGGGUAAGUUCCGACCUGCACGAAUGGCGUAAUGAUGGCCAGGCUGUCUCCACCCGAGACUCAGUGAAAUUGAACUCGCUGUGAAGAUGCAGUGUACCCGCGGCAAGACGGAAAGACCCCGUGAACCUUUACUAUAGCUUGACACUGAACAUUGAGCCUUGAUGUGUAGGAUAGGUGGGAGGCUUUGAAGUGUGGACGCCAGUCUGCAUGGAGCCGACCUUGAAAUACCACCCUUUAAUGUUUGAUGUUCUAACGUUGGCCCGUAAUCCGGGUUGCGGACAGUGUCUGGUGGGUAGUUUGACUGGGGCGGUCUCCUCCUAAAGAGUAACGGAGGAGCACGAAGGUUGGCUAAUCCUGGUCGGACAUCAGGAGGUUAGUGCAAUGGCAUAAGCCAGCUUGACUGCGAGCGUGACGGCGCGAGCAGGUGCGAAAGCAGGUCAUAGUGAUCCGGUGGUUCUGAAUGGAAGGGCCAUCGCUCAACGGAUAAAAGGUACUCCGGGGAUAACAGGCUGAUACCGCCCAAGAGUUCAUAUCGACGGCGGUGUUUGGCACCUCGAUGUCGGCUCAUCACAUCCUGGGGCUGAAGUAGGUCCCAAGGGUAUGGCUGUUCGCCAUUUAAAGUGGUACGCGAGCUGGGUUUAGAACGUCGUGAGACAGUUCGGUCCCUAUCUGCCGUGGGCGCUGGAGAACUGAGGGGGGCUGCUCCUAGUACGAGAGGACCGGAGUGGACGCAUCACUGGUGUUCGGGUUGUCAUGCCAAUGGCACUGCCCGGUAGCUAAAUGCGGAAGAGAUAAGUGCUGAAAGCAUCUAAGCACGAAACUUGCCCCGAGAUGAGUUCUCCCUGAGACUUAGAGUCUCCUGAAGGAACGUUGAAGACGACGACGUUGAUAGGCCGGGUGUGUAAGCGCAGCGAUGCGUUGAGCUAACCGGUACUAAUGAACCGUGAGGCUUAACCUUACAACGCCGAAG
rnacentral:rRNA from 1 species